rnacentral:rRNA from 1 species
AUUGAACGCUGGCGGCAUGCUUUACACAUGCAAGUCGAACGGUAACAGGUCUUCGGAUGCUGACGAGUGGCGAACGGGUGAGUAAUGCAUCGGAACGUGCCCAGUCGUGGGGGAUAACGCAGCGAAAGCUGUGCUAAUACCGCAUACGAUCUAUGGAUGAAAGCGGGGGAUCGCAAGACCUCGCGCGAUUGGAGCGGCCGAUGUCAGAUUAGCUAGUUGGUGGGGUAAAGGCCCACCAAGGCGACGAUCUGUAGCUGGUCUGAGAGGACGACCAGCCACACUGGGACUGAGACACGGCCCAGACUCCUACGGGAGGCAGCAGUGGGGAAUAUUGGACAAUGGGCGAAAGCCUGAUCCAGCAAUGCCGCGUGAGUGAUGAAGGCCUAGGGUUGUAAAGCUCUUUUACCAGGGAUGAUAAUGACAGUACCUGGAGAAUAAGCUCCGGCUAACUCCGUGCCAGCAGCCGC